rnacentral:rRNA from 1 species
UACGGAAGGCAGCAGUGGGGAAUAUUGCACAAUGGGCGCAAGCCUGAUGCAGCCAUGCCGCGUGUAUGAAGAAGGCCUUCGGGUUGUAAAGUACUUUCAGCGGGGAGGAAGGCGAUGUGGUUAAUAACCGCGUCGAUUGACGUUACCCGCAGAAGAAGCACCGGCUAACUCCGUGCCAGCAGCCGCGGUAAUACGGAGGGUGCAAGCGUUAAUCGGAAUUACUGGGCGUAAAGCGCACGCAGGCGGUCUGUUAAGUCAGAUGUGAAAUCCCCGGGCUUAACCUGGGAACUGCAUUUUGAAACUGGCAGGCUUGAGUCUCGUAGAGGGGGUAGAAUUCCAGGUGUAGCGGUGAAAUGCGUAGAGAUCUGGAGGAAUACCGGUGGCGAAGGCGGCCCCUGGGACGAAGCUGACGCUCAGGUGCGAAAGCGUGGGGAGCGAAACAGGGAUUAGGAUACC